rnacentral:rRNA from 1 species
CAAUAGCGUAUAUUAAAGUUGUUGCGGUUAAAAAGCUCGUAGUUGGAGUUCUGCCAGGUGACGCUCGUCCGCCCAAGUGGUGUGUACAGGGCGUGCAUCUGGCCCUUUCAAGGGGAACGUGUCUGCACUUUACUGUGUGGUGCGAGAUCCUUGACUUUUACUUUGAGGAAAUCAGAGUGUUCCAAGCAGGCUCUCGUCGUGUAUAGCUCAGCAUGGAAUAAUAGCAUUGGACUUCGUUUCUAAGCUGUUGGUUGCAAGAAGCGAGGUAAUGAUGAAGAGGGAUAGUUGGGGGCAUUCGUAUUUAACUGUCAGAGGUGAAAUUCUUGGAUUUGUUAAAGACGGGCUACUGCGAAAGCAUCUGCCAUGGAUGUUUUCAUUG